CCCUUAGAUGUUCUGGGCCGCACGCGCGCUACACUGACGAAUGCAACGAGCUUAUAACCUUGGCCGAAAGGUCUGGGUAAUCUCCAAAUUUCGUCGUGAUGGGGAUAGAUUAUUGCAAUUAUUAAUCUUCAACGAGGAAUGCCUAGUAAGCGCAAGUCAUCAGCUUGCGUUGAUUACGUCCCUGCCCUUUGUACACACCGCCCGUCGCUCCUACCGAUUGAAUGGUCCGGUGAAGCGCUCGGACCGCGGCCUCUUGACGGUUUUCCGUCGAUUGGCUGUGGGAAGUUCGUUAAACCUUAGCAUUUAGAGGAAGGAGAAGUCGUANCA
rnacentral:rRNA from 1 species